AUCAAAUCACGUUGAAGGCACAGGUUCCCGUUUGAUUACCGAAGUUAAGCAAUAUUGAGCCUGGUCAGUACUUAGAUGGGGGAUUGCUUGGAAACACCCGGUAUUGAA